GAUGAACGCUGGCGGCGUGCUUAACACAUGCAAGUCGAACGGAAAGGCCCAAGCUUGCUUGGGUACUCGAGUGGCGAACGGGUGAGUAACACGUGGGUGAUCUGCCCUGCACUUCGGGAUAAGCCUGGGAAACUGGGUCUAAUACCGGAUAGGACGAUGGUUUGGAUGCCAUUGUGGAAAGUUUUUUCGGUGUGGGAUGAGCUCGCGGCCUAUCAGCUUGUUGGUGGGGUAAUGGCCUACCAAGGCGUCGACGGGUAGCCGGCCUGAGAGGGUGUACGGACACAUUGGGACGGAGAUACGGCCCAGACUCCGAAGGGAGGCAGAAGUGGGGAAGAUUGCACAAGGGGCGAAAGCCUGAUGCAGCGACGCCGCGUGGGGGAUGACGGCCUUCGGGUUGUAAACUCCUUUCGCUAGGGACGAAGCGUUUUUGUGACGGUACCUGGAGAAGAAGCACCGGCUAACUACGUG
rnacentral:rRNA from 1 species